rnacentral:pre_miRNA from 1 species
CUAAUACUCCCUCCGUCCGGAAAUACUUGUCGGAGGAAUGGAUGUAUCUAGACGUAUUUUAGUUCUAGAUACAUCCAUUUUUAUGCAUUUCUUCGACAAGUAUUUCUGGACGGAGGGAGUACUAA